AGAGAAUCCGGUUUCCCAAUUAAUAAGCUACGAAGAAAAAGGUUCUGAACAGGUCACCAUUUGGAACUUUGGCUGGCACAUGUUGGCAACCACAUCAGGACCCCGCUGUGCUGAGCAGUUUAGCAGACUCAGAUCUUCAAGUGUCAGAUUUCAGAAGCUUGGCUAUUUUCCAGUACUGAUGCACUGUCUUGACAUACGGCAGAGUGCACCUAUGCUGGUAAGGUGUCAGAGGUACAUGUGUGACACUUGAGUACUAUAUUCCUAGCUAUAUGCACGUAAGGCUUUCCUCCUAUGUUGCUAACUAGUCCAAUUAGGCAUUCCUCCCUAAUUAUGUCAAAUUCUUAAGAACUUUUCCUAGAAAGUUAACUUAAAAAAGCAACUUGAUAAUUGCUGAGAUUUCACAGCCUAAUGUUCCACAACAAAAUGCAAGUGAGAAGCAGCAUCCCAUGUGAUAGAGAUUUUAAUUAGCACACACUGUCUCAUUCCAACUGCUACAUCAGCUUCAAGUCCCCUCAAGCACUCAGCUUCGUACACUUAACUCUUCAAAAUGUAACCCAAAAAACUGAAAAGCCCUAACACUUCUAGAAGAUCUGUAUUCUAAGAAAUCAAGUAUUUCAGCUUCCUAGCUGAAUGCUUCUUUAAAUUACAAAGCUGGGGAUCAACUAGAAGGAUGCUUAAUCCAAUAAGAACAUCUAGUUACUGAAACACGGCCUCAGCUGCAUGAAGAGAUCCUAGCUAACUCAGUAAACUCUGCAUACAAACCAUCUUGCUUUUCCAUACCUAAAUCACACACAUCAGAAGACCCUAAAUAGCAGAAUUGAAGUAUUUUUGCAUUACAUGCACCUGUGCUAUUUUACUCUUACAAUCUUCCUCUUCUCUGCCACCUCUAAGACCAUUUUGAAAUUAAUCUGCCCAACACGUACAUUGCUGGCACAACCCACAGGAUAACUGCUAAUGUCAAAUGACUCUUGAUGCAAUGUAUUGACUUCUCUGACACCCAGGUGUCAACAGACCACCAAACUUUCUCACCUUUCUGAGCUCAAAUGGAUGUAACCACUUCCAUCUUCUUGCAGGGAAUUUUGGAAGCUCCCACAGCCACUACAUGCUGUUAACCCAAGGUCCUUUUCUCUCAGUUGUUUUAUUACACUGUCUAGGAUUAUUUGUUUUGGGGAAAGACACUUAACAUGAACUAUCAACUGUAACUGACACUGUAAUUACACUGUCACCAAAAAAAGCUGUUCCAAACUUUGUCUCACAGAAAUCAUUCUACUUCAGGUGUUUGAAAAUACUACCAUUAUUUAAACUGGACUGGACAGGACUCAUGAAUGGAGUUCUGACCACACAUGCUGCUUUUACAAGCAAUUUACUUUCAUUUACACUGUACCUUCUAGGAACAGAAAGAACAGCACAGCAGGGGCACUGCCAAGGACAAGAGGUGCCAUGGAGAAACAGAGCACGAGUCCCGGCAUGGCUCCUGCUGGCUCUGACUUUCCAGACUCAUCUCUUGUUUGUAGACUGAGAUGGAGCAUCUUGGGACCUGAACUUCUGACACUCCAAUUUCAAGAAUGGAUAACAAAAAUACAUGCUUCAUUUGUGUGGAUAUACAGAUGGCUGACAACUCUCAGAACUCACUCAAAAUUAAAGACAUGACUGGAUUUGCUUUAUA